rnacentral:rRNA from 1 species
UUGAUAGUACCUAUCCUACAUGGAUAACAGUGGUAAUUCUAGAGCUAAUACAUGCUGAAAAUCCCGACUUCGGAAGGGACGUAUUUAUUAGAAUCAGAACCAAUGCCCUUCGGGGUUCCUUGGUGAAUCAUGAUAACUCCACAGAUCGCAUGGCCUUGCGCCGGCGAUGGCUCAUUCAAAUUUCUUCCCUAUCAACUUUCGACGGUACGGUCUUGGCCUACCGUGGUUGCAACGGGUGACGGAGGGUUAGGGCUCGACCCCGGAGAAGGAGCCUGAGAAACGGCUACUACAUCCAAGGAAGGCAGCAGGCGCGCAAAUUAUCCAAUCCCGACUCGGGGAGAUAGUGACAAUAAAUACCGAUACAGGGCUCUUUUGGGCCCUGUAAUUGGAAUGAGUACAAUUCAAACCUCUUAACGAGGAACAAUUGGAGGGCAAGUCUGGUGCCAGCAGCCGCGGUAAUUCCAGCUCCAAUAGCGUAUAUUAAAGUUGUUGUGGUUAAAAAGCUCGUAGUCGAACCUCGAGCCUGGCCGGCCGGUCCGCCUCACCGCGUGCACUGGUCUGGCCGGGCUCUUCCCUCUGCGGAACCGCAUGUCCUUCACUGGGCGUGUCGGGGAGGCAGGACUUUUACUUUGAAAAAAUUAGAGUGCUCAAGGCAGGCCAAUGCUCGGAUACAUUAGCAUGGAAUAAUAGAAUAGGACGUUGGUUCUAUUUUGUUGGUUUCUAGGACCGCCGUAAUGAUCAAUAGGGACGGUCGGGGGCAUCAGUAUUCAGCCGUCAGAGGUGAAAUUCUUGGACCGGCUGAAGACUAACUACUGCGAAAGCAUUUGCCAAGGACGUUUUCGCUGAUCAGGAACGAAAGUUAGGGGAUCGAAGACGAUCAGAUACCGUCGUAGUCUUAACCAUAAACUAUGCCGACUAGGGAUCGGGCGGCGUUCUUUCUAGACCCGCUCGGCAC